AACGAGCCUCAACUGCAGCUGCCCUCUCAUUAGACUCCUCAAGAAGUCUUCGGGUGUUGAACAACUCUGUCUCUACGGACUUGGCAUACUCCUCUGCAUCGGCUACCUUUCCGUCAGCCCUCUUUAAGGCCUCAUAAGCGGCAUACAGUUCCAUCUGGAGAGACGCAAUAUGUUCUCGAGCUGCCGCGAGGUUGCCCCGGGCAUCAACGGUUGCAGAUAGGUUCUCAUCUCGACGAGCUUCCUCAAUCCUACGGUCGACAGACUCUCGCAGAGAGAGGUCACGAGCAUCUGCCUCCAUGGAAAG
rnacentral:lncRNA from 1 species